rnacentral:lncRNA from 1 species
AUCUCAGUCCAUCACACCAGUGAAACUUAAUGGACUCAACUCCAAAAUGUUAUUUUUUUUAAACUUUCAACAUUAAGUUCUAGAGCUUGUCAUGUCUAGCAUGUCAGUAUUUCCUUCCAUUUCUAGAUGACAUGUGAGAUACAGGAAAUGGAGAGAAGGCAGGAACCUAUGGGUCUGGAUCCAGGCAGCAACAAAUCUUCCUGGAGAUAAGAGAUUUUGGGUUAAUCUGAGAUAAAAUUUACUAACUCAAGGAAACCUGAGUAUAGAAAAAGAGGAGGAAGUUGUGCCAAAGUAAAGCUACAUGACUACUCCAGAGUCACAAAGCUAUUUAUUACAGGGCAUUCAUCAUAUGUUAUGCGUGCAUUCCUGCAUUUCUCUUGACUUCAUAAAGAUAUCAGUAUGACACUUGAUGCUCAUUGGUCACCCCUCAUUCUUACAGGAGAGGACCAGGAGGAUGGAACACUACAUAUAUUGUCAAGCAUAGUUUAUGUGCAGGCCAGUUUCCUUGAAUUAAUAUCCCACUUUCCCCUACUUUUUAAAAAGUGUUUCUUCAUAGGUAUAGCUUUGCAGUAAGGAAGGGAAAGGAUUGAAAAAUAGAUGCAAAAACAAAAAGAAUGAAAUAAAAAAGUAAAAUUAAAAAUGAAUUAAACUUAA